CAGAAAUAGUUAAAGGCAAAAGAUUCAGAGUUUCAAUAUUCUUUAUCAGACUGAACACACACUGAAAAUGGACACAUCUUGAUUAGAAUGUGAAUGAGCACAAUAUCACAGAUGGAUAAAUAUGAGCCAGAUCUGACUGAAUGUAGUGUAAAGUGCUUUGGGGUCCUUAGAGACUAAGUAAAGCGCUAUACAUUUACAGGCCAUUUACAUGAAUGAUGACUCACUAAAAGAGCUGCAUUUGGGCGAUUGGACGUAUUUAUCGACCAUUGACAAUAAGCUGAGCCUUUCAUUGAUCAUUUUUGCAAGAGCGAUAUAUUUAUUCAUUUAUUUAUUUGCCCAUUAGUAAGUUUGCUAAUAUUGUUAAUUGAAGCUAAGAGAAGCAGUCUACGGAAAAAAUAAUAGUGCCGUUUUAACCGCACCCUCUUCCAGCUGCGAGCAAAUCUACCCUCUUCAGAGUGCACCCAAAUGCAGCAAUUUCAUUUACUCAAACUCAUAACAGAGAGAAAGAAAGGCAGUAGCCUCUGUUCAGAAAACAAAACAAAACAAAAAAAACCCCAUUUUAUUUAAAUUUCUCUUAAAAAUUCUCUGACAUAAUGUUGUCUUUUCUGCGAUUUGGCGCAUCUCAAAUAAAUAAAUAAAUGAAUAAUCCAAAAAGUAGCUAUAUUAAUACCAAAACAAACAAGAAAAGAAAGUAAGAUAUUCCCUCCACACAAAGCGUAAAUGACAUGGUCCUGGGUUUUUUUGACUCAGCGUUUUGUCUUUUCUAUUAUUGUGAUGUAUUCUGGUUGUGAUUUUCUAGCUUUUUGGUUCUGUUCUUUGUCAGUUUAGUGCUUAGUCAUUCCUGCCUGUGUGUUCCCUCUGUGUUUCUUAGUCUUUGUCUUUGCAUGUGUGAGUUCCUGUUUUAUUUUGAAGGUCAGUGUCUCAGGUUAUUGUAUUCUGUUUUACUUCCCUCAGUCUCGUCAGCUCUGAUUUCCUCCAGCUGUGUCUCUCUCCUGCCUCC
ensembl:lncRNA